rnacentral:tRNA from 1 species
AGGGUUGUAGUUAACUAUAACAUUUGAUUUGCAUUCAAAAAGUAUUGAUUAUUCAAUCUACCUUGAAUAUGAAGCG